rnacentral:misc_RNA from 1 species
UCCGAGUUGACCCCGGCAGUCUCCCAUGCAGCACCUCUAUACAGACCUCCGAAGAGGGGCUCUCAUCUCUGAGACUUUCCUGUACAGUUCAAACCCAGGUAAGGUUCUGCGCGUUGCUUCGAAUUAAACCACAUGCUCCACCGCUUGUGCGGGCCCCCGUCAAUUCCUUUGAGUUUCAGUCUUGCGACCGUACUCCCCAGGCGGAGUGCUUAAUGUGUUGACUUCGGCACAGCAGGGGUCGAUACCCGCUACACCAAGCACUCAUCGUUUACGGCGUGGACUAC